AGUGAACGCUGGCGGUAGGCCUAACACAUGCAAGUCGAACGGCAGCACAAUAAGAGCUUGCACUUACGGGUGGCGAGUGGCGGACGGGUGAGGAAUACAUCGGAAUCUACUUUUUCGUGGGGGAUAACGUAGGGAAACUUACGCUAAUACCGCAUACGACCUACGGGUGAAAGCAGGGGAUCUUCGGACCUUGCGCGAUUGAAUGAGCCGAUGUCGGAUUAGCUAGUUGGCGGGGUAAAGGCCCACCAAGGCGACGAUCCGUAGCUGGUCUGAGAGGAUGAUCAGCCACACUGGAACUGAGACACGGUCCAGACUCCUACGGGAGGCAGCAGUGGGGAAUAUUGGACAAUGGGCGCAAGCCUGAUCCAGCCAUACCGCGUGGGUGAAGAAGGCCUUCGGGUUGUAAAGCCCUUUUGUUGGGAAAGAAAAGCAGCAGGUUAAUACCCCGCUGUUCUGACGGUACCCAAAGAAUAAGCACCGGCUAACUUCGUG
rnacentral:rRNA from 1 species